GAUGAACGCUGGCGGCGUGCCUAAUACAUGCAAGUCGAGCGAACAGACGAGGAACUUGCUCCUCUGACGUUAGCGGCGGACGGGUGAGUAACACGUGGAUAACCUACCUAUAAGACUGGGAUAACUUCGGGAAACCGGAGCUAAUACCGGAUAAUAUAUUGAACCGCAUGGUUCAAUAGUGAAAGACGGUUUUGCUGUCACUUAUAGAUGGAUCCGCGCCGCAUUAGCUAGUUGGUAAGGUAACGGCUUACCAAGGCAACGAUGCGUAGCCGACCUGAGAGGGUGAUCGGCCACACUGGAACUGAGACACGGUCCAGACUCCUACGGGAGGCAGCAGUAGGGAAUCUUCCGCAAUGGGCGAAAGCCUGACGGAGCAACGCCGCGUGAGUGAUGAAGGUCUUCGGAUCGUAAAACUCUGUUAUUAGGGAAGAAUAAAUGUGUAAGUAACUAUGCACGUUUUGACGGUACCUAAUCAGAAAGCCACGGCUAACUACGUG
rnacentral:rRNA from 1 species